GGUUUGACUCUGCGAUGCCACCAUCCCUGGUACCAUUUAAGUAUUUACAUCACAUAUCUUCCUCAAUAUAAUGUUUGCUUGAACAACUAACCUUUUGAUCACAUCUGCAUGCGUUAUAUAUUAAGUUGUAGUCAAAAGUCACAUGAUUUUCUCUUUAGCUAUUUGCAUUAGCAAGCAGAUACACAUAAUUCUGUGUAGGAACAUGCUGGGCUUGUGUGAUCUAUU